AUUCCAAAAAAAACGCCUGAAGCAGAAAUCGAAGUGAGGUACGCGGAUCUAACAAGCCUGGGCGCGCGUUACAUCAAGGCUAGCGAAAAUCCAGAUUAUGAUGAAGAUCUUCAUCUUCUUCAUGAAGAUGAAGAUGAAGAUGAUGAGCAUUCAUGCGCAAUUUUCCGGAAUUUCCAGAAACGUCCAGAAUUUUACAAAUUAUAUAUCGUUGGAAAGCUCUU
rnacentral:lncRNA from 1 species